GGGACGUGUGGCGCACGGGUCGGAGGCAGCCGUUCGUUUCUGUCUCGCGUAGUUCGGAGUUCCCUCGAUCGGGGCCGCCCGCGGCGGGUGCCAGGCCCAUUCGGUGCGGACGACGAGCGACGGCCUUCGAUCCGAGAGUCGGGUUGCUUGGGAACGCAGCCCAAAUCGGGUGGUAAGCUCCAUCCAAGGCUAAAUACCGGGACGAGUCCGAUAGUCGACAAGUACCGUGAGGGAAAGUUGAAAAGAACUUUGGAGAGAGAGUUCAAGAGAACGUGAAACCGCCCAGGGGUAAACGGGUGGGACCGUUCACCGCGAUCGUGGGGGGACUCAGUCCGGUGCUUC
rnacentral:rRNA from 1 species